rnacentral:rRNA from 1 species
UCCCAAAACAACCAGGAGGUUGGCUUAGAAGCAGCCAUCCUUUAAAGAUAGCGUAACAGCUCACUGGUCUAGUCAAGAGGUCUUGCGGCGAAGAUGUAACGGGGCUCAAGCCACGAGCCGAAGCUUUGGGUGUGCAGCAAUGCACGCGGUAGCGGAGCGUUCUGUGAUAUAGAACGCUGCCUCUUCUGCCCUUCGGGGCAACGGAGGCAAUGUUCUGACUGUGAAGCCGGGCUGUAAGGCAUCCGGUGGAGUGAUCAGAAGCGAGAAUGUUGACAUGAGUAGCGACAAACAGGGUGAGAGACCCUGUCGCCGAAAGUCCAAGGGUUCCUGCUUAAAGCUAAUCUGAGCAGGGUAAGCCGGCCCCUAAGGCGAGGCCGAAAGGCGUAGUCGAUGGGAACCAGGUUAAUAGUCCUGGGCCAGGAGAUGGUGACGGAUCCUUGAGGUUGUUCGAUCUUACUGGAUUGAUCGGGCAGCUGCGGGGUCCCUGGAAAUAGCCCUCCACAAGACCGUACCCGAAACCGACACAGGUGGACUGGUAGAGAAUACCAAGGCGCUUGAGAGAACCACGUUUAAGGAACUCGGCAAAAUACCUCCGUAAGUUCGCGAGAAGGAGGCCCUGUUGUUGCGCAAGCAGCGGCAGGGGGCACAAACCAGGGGGUGGCGACUGUUUACUUAAAACACAGGGCUGUGCGAAGCCGCAAGGCGACGUAUACAGUCUGACGCCUGCCCGGUGCCGGAAGGUUAAAGGGAGGGGUGCAAGCUCCGAACUGAAGCCCCGGUAAACGGCGGCCGUAACUAUAACGGUCCUAAGGUAGCGAAAUUCCUUGUCGGG